rnacentral:rRNA from 1 species
AUUGAACGCUGGCGGCAGGCUUAACACAUGCAAGUCGAACGCCCCGCAAGGGGAGUGGCAGACGGGUGAGUAACGCGUGGGAACAUACCCUUUCCUGCGGAAUAGCUCUGGGAAACUGGAAUUAAUACCGCAUACGCCCUACGGGGGAAAGAUUUAUCGGGGAAGGAUUGGCCCGCGUUGGAUUAGCUAGUUGGUGGGGUAAAGGCCUACCAAGGCGACGAUCCAUAGCUGGUCUGAGAGGAUGAUCAGCCACAUUGGGACUGAGACACGGCCCAAACUCCUACGGGAGGCAGCAGUGGGGAAUAUUGGACAAUGGGCGCAAGCCUGAUCCAGCCAUGCCGCGUGAGUGAUGAAGGCCUUAGGGUUGCAAAGCUCUUUCACCGAUGAAGAUAAUGACGGUAGUCGGAGAAGAAGCCCCGGCUAACUUCGUGCCAGCCGCCGCCGUAACAC